GUGUGUGAAUUUUUUCUUAAUUAGAAUGUGAGGCAAUGUGGUAUACAGGGUAGAAAAAUCAAAACUCUGAACAGAUUCAAAAUCACCAAUAUAAGCAUGCAAUUUAUCAAGUACUUCCAACGAGUUCUUGACACUCCAAAAGUAAUUUAUUCCACUAUUUUCGAAGGCCUUAUUUGAACAAUUUAUUAUCAGGUUUUUAAUUAUACCAAGUGUG
rnacentral:lncRNA from 1 species